rnacentral:rRNA from 1 species
GACGAACGCUGGCGGCGUGCUUAACACAUGCAAGUCGAACGGAAAGGCCCUGCUUUUGUGGGGUGCUCGAGUGGCGAACGGGUGAGUAACACGUGAGUAACCUGCCCUUGACUUUGGGAUAACUUCAGGAAACUGGGGCUAAUACCGGAUAGGAGCUCUUGCUGCAUGGUGGGGGUUGGAAAGUUUCGGCGGUUGGGGAUGGACUCGCGGCUUAUCAGCUUGUUGGUGGGGUAGUGGCUUACCAAGGCUUUGACGGGUAGCCGGCCUGAGAGGGUGACCGGCCACAUUGGGACUGAGAGACGGCCCAGACUGCUACGGUAGGCAGCAGUGGGGAAUAUUGCACAAUGGGCGGAAGCCAGAUGCAGCAACGCCGCGUGCGGGAUGACGGCCUUCGGGUUGUAAACCGCUUUCGCCUGUGACGAAGCGUGAGUGACGGUAAUGGGUAAAGAAGCACCGGCUAACUACGUG